UGAAUAUAGUUUAACUAAAACCCUAGUCUGUGACCCUAGAAAUGAAAGCUCAUCACUCUCUAUUCACC
rnacentral:tRNA from 1 species